rnacentral:tRNA from 1 species
GGGCUUGUGGCUCAGUGAUAGAGCACUUGCCUAGCAUGCAUGAGGCACUGGGUUUGAUUCUCAGCACCA